UACGUAGGGGGCAAGCGUUGUCCGGAUUUAUUGGGCGUAAAGAGCGUGUAGGCGGCCGUACAGGUCAGCUGUGAAAACUCGAGGCUCAACCUCGAGACGUCGGUUGAAACCGUACGGCUAGAGUCCGGAAGAGGAGAGUGGAAUUCCCGGUGUGAGCGGUGAAAUGCGCAGAUAUCGGGAAGAACACCCGUGGCGAAGGCGGCUCUCUGGGACGGUACUGACGCUGAGACGCGAAAGCGUGGGGA
rnacentral:rRNA from 1 species